CCUACGGGAGGCAGCAGUGGGGAAUAUUGCACAAUGGGGGAAACCCUGAUGCAGCGACGCCGCGUGAGUGAAGAAGUAUUUCGGUAUGUAAAGCUCUAUCAGCAGGGAAGAAACUGACGGUACCUGACUAAGAAGCCCCGGCUAACUACGUGCCAGCAGCCGCGGUAAUACGUAGGGGGCAAGCGUUAUCCGGAUUUACUGGGUGUAAAGGGAGCGUAGACGGCGGAACAAGUCAGAAGUGCAAACCCGGGGCUCAACCCUGGGAGUGCUUUUGAAACUGUUUGGCUGGAGUGCAGGAGAGGUAAGCGGAAUUCCUAGUGUAGCGGUGAAAUGCGUAGAUAUUAGGAGGAACACCAGUGGCGAAGGCGGCUUACUGAACAGUAACUGACGUUGAGGCUCGAAAGCGUGGGGAGCAAACAGGAUUAGAUACCCUUGUAGUC
rnacentral:rRNA from 1 species